UUUGGGUGUGUCUCCCUUCUCGGGAGACUCUCUCAACCCUAAGAACCCUUGACCUCAAAUCGGGUGAGACUACCCGCUGAACUUAAGCAUAUCAAUAAGCGGAGGAAAAGAAACUAACAAGGAUUCCCCUAGUAACUGCGAGUGAAGCGGGAAAAGCUCAAAUUUAAAAUCUGGCGGUCUUUGGC
rnacentral:rRNA from 1 species